rfam:Triticum aestivum genome assembly, contig: Triticum_aestivum_CS42_TGACv1_scaffold_499964_6BL
AUAGUACUUCCUCUAUCCCAAAAUUCUUGUCUUAGAUUUGUGUACAUACGGAUGUAUCUAGUUCGUUUUAGUGUUAGAUACAUCCGGAUCUAGACAAAUUUAAGACAAGAAUUUUGAGACGGAGGGAGUAGUAU